UCUUAACUAUCAAUUGAUUAUAAAACCAUAAUAAUUGAUGUUUAACAGCAGUGUUAAUGGCAUGAGGUUCAUUGCUUUGUCAUUAAACUCUGGGCACAUAUAUUUAAAAUAAUCAAUUGGUAUUUAUUUAACAUACAAUAACUUCUCUGUUACAUCUCAAUUAAAUGCUGGUUGUGAGGUGCUGUGGACAGGCAAAAGCGAAACACAGUCCUGAGUGUUUGACAAAAUAAGCAGGACUGUUUCCGCAGUUUCCAAAAUCCUGGCUUUCAAUAGUUAAAUGGGAGACAAAACCCUGAAGACCUAUUCAUGCCUGCCUUCAUUGCUUUAUCUCAAUAUCUCUUUCAGGUUCACAAACACUUGGAGAAGACUUCUCGGGCAGACGAGGCGCUUAUCUGGCAAGAAUUUGUGACCUGACCUCGAAAGGGUGGGCGGCGAUUUCCCACUUGCCUUUGAUGGUUGCGACACGUGGCAAAUGACUGUUCGUUGGACAUGAAGGAAGCGCUUCAUAGAGGAUCCAAGGGUGAUCUGUUAUACAUUACAGAUAUCAAAGACGACUGGCAAAUUGCUGUUCAACACUUUUCACCAUCUUCUCCCAACUUCCUAUCAACUGCAGCCAUAGACCAGGUCUUCAUUUACUGGCCGAGGCAACUACUUUCCGGGCAUGUCGGCGAGGUGUCCAUGACUGCUGCUGAAAAAGAUGCCAAGGACUUGGCAGGAUUUGUUGUAUUUGAUUUGCUGCCCCUUGCAUCCAAGAAAAAUCCACUGUUCCGUCAGCCGCCGAUGCUCCAGACCUGGCCUGACAAGCCUGGCUGUAUAUUUACAGUUGGCAGGAGCGAAGGCUUCAUCAAUCUUCCGGCUUUGAAGGGGACAGGCCCGUUCCCAUGAGCACCUGCUCCGGGAGAACAGCUGAACUGUGACUUUCCAGGGAGCUGGCUGUAAAUUUUCCCCAUUCUCUCUUUCCCUUCCACCUCCCAAACCCUACGCCGGGCUGGAGGUUUUUAACCUUCUUCGGCUGGCAGGCAUCCCAGCCAUCAGCUCCGAGCGGAAAGACUCGGCCUGUUUUUAAUUAACCUUUUCUUUCCCACUGCAGGCACUCUCAGGAUCCUUCACACUCAACGGGGGAACCGAACGCAAGAGCCGCCUCUUUGCCUGCAGUCACAAAGGGAAGGGCUCCGUUUCCCCUUUGUGUCUAGUGCAUUACCCCCAGUAGAUGAUGCUGGGGAACAGUCGCCUUGGCUGGCUUUCUUUCCAAAGGCGUCUUCUGAGAGCAGCACUGGACCAGGUGUUCAGGCUACUGGGUGUGUGGCUUGGCAUUUUGGGGAAGGGCUGAAAGGGCGGAGGAGGAUUCGGCAGCCUGUGCAUUCUACAAAUCAAAGAUGGCGGAUUCCCCAGCAUACCCUUCUUCGAAGGGGCAUUUUUUCAGGAGAGAAAUGGUUUCAGUGUGCCUUUCUUUUUCUUUUAAAGUACAGGCACUCUGCAUACGAUUUCCAUCCCUUUCCAGUUUGGAUUUCAACACNCAUCAGCCACAACUCAGCCCAUNCAUUUUGGACUCCAAUUCCCGUUCGUCCCACUUGACACAUCCAUUUUGAGNCCCAGUCCCACCACCCCAGUCAACAUAGCCCUUUUGAAUUCCAGUUCCCAUCAGUCCCAGGCAGCACAGCUAUUUUGGACCAGCCCCAACCUGCCUGGCCAGCGUCAGUGAGAUCUUCUAAAAGUUAAAGAAUCGGAAUCCACGACAUCAGCCUUUCUUACCAACAACAGGUUUGAAAUAUUGCAGGAGGAAUGACUGGAUGUUUAUAAAGACUUAGAGCAUAGUUCAUUAUUGCCUCAGUCUUCCCUAAGAACAGGACUUCAGGGUGAACAUUGUAGCAUGGACAAAUAAUUGAUAAAUAUUACGGAGCUUUUUUCAAAACAAACCUUCUUGAUCCAAGGGUUUGAUGCACCGGGUACAAAUCCUCCUCCACCUUCCUCUGUCUUUAGCUCCUGAGAUUGUUCUGUCCGUUUCCAGCUUGGACCAGCUGGUCUACCAACACNAUUCAUGGCCUUUCCUGGUUUGUACCUUGGAAAAUUCCUUUUCCAGAUGGUAUGGGAGCAUCACGGCUUUUUUCGUUGCCUGUAGAAGAACAUCACAGGUUUUAUGUAUCUACUUGGACCUUCAGACGUGUAGGGUUAUGCUUUUAGAAGAAAUGACAACAAGGCUUAACUANGGUUUUCAUCUGUCUGCCACUAGAGGCUGCUGUACUCCUCAUUAAAUGAAACAAAUAAACAAACAAAGUAGNCCA
rnacentral:lncRNA from 1 species